GGGGCUGUAGCUCAGUUGGAAGAGCAGUACGCUGGCAGCGUAAAGGUCGAGGGUUCGAGUCCCUUUAGCUCCACCA
rnacentral:tRNA from 1 species